GGCUACAUUACGUUGAUACACCGGCUCGCGUACAAUCACCAAAGUUAAGCAAAUUCGAGCCUGGUCAAUACUUAGAUGAGUGACCGCAUGGGAACACCAGGGGCUGUAAG